UACGUAGGGGGCAAGCGUUGUCCGGAAUCAUUGGGCGUAAAGCGCGUGUAGGCGGCUUGGUAAGUCCGCUCUGAAAGCCCGGGGCUCAACCCCGGGAGGCGGGUGGAUACUGUCAAGCUCGAGUCCGGAAGAGGCGAGUGGAAUUCCUGGUGUAGCGGUGAAAUGCGCAGAUAUCAGGAGGAACACCAAUGGCGAAGGCAGCUCGCUGGGACGGUACUGACGCUAAGGCGCGAAAGCGUGGGGAGCGAACAGG
rnacentral:rRNA from 1 species